GGGGAUAUAGCUCAGUUGGGAGAGCGCGUGAAUGGCAUUCACGAGGUCAGCGGUUCGAUCCCGCUUAUCUCCACCA
rnacentral:tRNA from 1 species